GCCGAAGUGGCGGAAAUGGCAGACGCGCUAGAUUCAGGGUCUAGUGGCCAUUACGGCCGUCGGGGUUCAAAUCCCCGCUUCGGCACCA
rnacentral:tRNA from 1 species